AAAAGUAAGCUACAGGUCACGACCUUACUUGAACAGGAUCUGUUCUAUAGGUUGUACAACUGUAUCCUUGAGUGUAAAGGAGACAGGCAACAAAGUCUGGUGGAUGAAACAUGACCUCAGAGCCAGAGCGUGAUUGAUGGCUGAGAUUCAUCCGACUCUCCUGCUGUAGAGGAUCGUUUCUGACCUGCGUGAGCCGGUUGGUUUGGCUCUGAGGGUAUUCGAGAUAAUGCCUGAAAGAAAUUUGAUGAGGCAUGAAUAGUCUUGUAGGUGCAUGUUUAGUGUUCGACGAAAUGUCUAAAAGAGAUUACAGGGAUGUGCUGCACUACUUUACUUCGGCUACGGAACUUUUAAGGAUUUGUUCCCGCUUUGUGAGCAAACCGCACCACAUCAAAACAUAAUCAACAUGAGUUCUAGAAGCUGUCAACUACCAACUAAUCCAAUUAGGCUACCGCUUUCCCAUACUGUCAAAAAGAGGACCUCUGCAGGGCUCUGGGGAAUCUGCAAAAUUUAGGAGGACUUAUUCGUAAUUAGAUGAUUCUCAAGGGACAAGUGAGUAAAAAACUCCUCUUUUCCACGUGUCCUCUGAUAUCAGCUCUCCUUCCACAUGGCACGCAUUAAACACACCAAAUGCCACGUGGCAGUGCCAACUCUCAACUCACAAGCAAAACCAUGCAAUUCUCUGCCCAUAAAGAGAGCUCGGCUCGUAGUAUCCACCUAUACAAUAAAUAAUAAAAGAAAAAAAUAUAAAAUAUAUAUAUAAAAGAAUAAAAAAAAAAAAAAAGAAAAAGAAAA